rnacentral:misc_RNA from 1 species
GGAAGGAUCAUUACCACGUCUCCACGUAUCACCCUCUGUGCACGCGUCCCUGGUGCCCUGCCCGCCGCAUGAGCUGAGCCGCUUGCCGCCACAUGAAAUGGGGCUCUCGCAAGAGAGCCACUGGCGACAAGGCUACAGGAGUGGAAACGCUCCGACAGCUGCAGCGAAGGCGCAGGCUAUAUUUUCUUGCUUUAGAAAUCUCCAUUUCAGAUGUCUACUGCAGGAUUCAUUUUCACCUUUAUCACCCCCUUUUUGCUAGUUGACUUUUUUAAUGUUGAGCGCUCGUCUGCCCGUUCACUCUGGCGGCCUGCGUCUCACACGUUUCAUUAUUUGAACGUAAAAUACAACUCUUAGCAAUGGAUAUCUAGGUUCUCGCAACGAUGAAGAACGCAGCGAAAUGCGAUACGUAAUGCGAAUUGCAGAAUUCAGUGAAUCAUCAAAUCUUUGAACGCAAAUUGCGCUCUUGGGUAGCCCUAGGAGCACGCCUCUCUCAGUAUCGGUUCAAUCACCUCUCAGCAGCGUGGCUCUCUCUUCGGAGAAGCGUCGCGUGUAGCUGGAAAAUGAGAGUCGAAGUGUCCGUCACUUCGUCUCUUGAAAAUCAUGGAGUAGGUCAUCUACUGCUUCCUCAGCUCAGCUCUCCACAGCGCCUUCGGGCGCUGCAGAGGACUGAUAGUCAGUCUCGGACUGUCGCUGGCGAGUGACGUGAAUACUGACCUUCGGGUCUCCUUUUUACGUGUAACUCUGCUGUCGAACUCACAGUCUGUUCUGUCGAACGUGGUCGCUGGUGUGCCCUGCGGUUCGUGGCCUCAUACGCUACAGUCGGCUUGGUAGAGAGUUGAUUCUCUCUAGUUGAGUCUGAAUUUUGAUCUGAGAUGAAGCGAGACAACCCCCUGAAUUUAAGCAUAUUAAUAAGGGGAGGAAAAGAAACUAACAAGGAUUCCCCCAGUAACGGCGAGUGAAGCGGGAAGAGCUCAAUUUUGAAAAUCGAUUUCCUAAGCGGGACAUCGAGUUGUAGCCUAUAGACGUACUAUCAGCUGAGACCUGGGUAUAAGUUCUUUGGAAUGAGGCAUCAUAGAGGGUGAGAAUCCCGUAUAUGACCCAAAGUUCUCAGCGUACGAUGUAUGUUCAUCGAGUCGAGUUGUUUGGGAUUGCAGCUCUAAAUGGGUGGUAAGUUUCAUCUAAAGCUAAAUAAUGGCGAGAGACCGAUAGCGAACAAGUACCGUGAGGGAAAGAUGAAAAGAACUUUGAAAAGAGAGUUAAAAGUACUUGAAAUUGCUAAGAGGGAAGCGCUGACAACCAGUGCUGUGCGUCGUUCAUCGCCUUCAGCCCCACUGGCUGUCGUGUGCCGUUGGAAACUCGGCUCGCGGCAGCGAAAGGGAGGUUGUGGGUCCAGGACGGCGUGCGAGUCAAGAUCCAUUCGAUGUGUGGGAGAAGGUGCGGGGAAAGGUAGGAGACCGUUAAACGUCUCUGUUAUAGUCCCUGUACUCUACCUCGUGUUGGAUGGAGGAAGGAAUAGUGCGCCGCUUGCGGCUUGGCCCCGGGCUCCUGUGCCUCCUCGCUGCUCUGCUCGCAAUGCGAUCUCUGUGGCGCGUGGGUAUACUGGGCUCGACGGCUCUAUGUGCUAUCGCGAUCUUGUACGAAAUGGUUGUCAUCGACCCGUCUUGAAACACGGACCAAGGAGUCUAACAUCUAUGCGAGUAUUUGGGUGCAAAACCCUGAUGCGCAAUGAAAGUAAAGGCAGCUUCGGCUGCUGAGGUAGGAAUCCGCUAAACACGGAGGCACUAUCGACCGAUCAUCACUUGUGAAAGAUUUGAGUAAGAGCAUAUCUGUUGGGACCCGAAAGAUGGUGAUCUAUGCCUGAACAGGGUGAAGCCAGGGGAAACUCUGGUGGAGGCUCGUAGCGAUACUGACGUGCAAAUCGUUCGUCUGAUUUGGGUAUAGGGGCGAAAGACUAAUCGAACCAUCUAGUAGCUGGUUCCCUC